rnacentral:rRNA from 1 species
CCUACGGGAGGCAGCAGUGAGGAAUAUUGGUCAAUGGGCGUGAGCCUGAACCAGCCAAGUCGCGUGAGGGAUGAAGGUUCUACGGAUCGUAAACCUCUUUUAUAAGGGAAUAAAGUGAGGGACGUGUCCCGUUUUGUAUGUACCUUAUGAAUAAGGAUCGGCUAACUCCGUGCCAGCAGCCGCGGUAAUACGGAGGAUCCGAGCGUUAUCCGGAUUUAUUGGGUUUAAAGGGUGCGUAGGCGGGCUGUUAAGUCAGCUGUGAAAGUUUGUGGCUCAACCGUAGAAUUGCCGUUGAAACUGGCAGCCUUGAGUACGGUUGAGGCAGGCGGAAUGCGUGGUGUAGCGGUGAAAUGCUUAGAUAUCACGAAGAACCCCGAUUGCGAAGGCAGCUUGCCAAGC